GACGAACGCUGGCGGCGUGCCUAACACAUGCAAGUGGAGCGACGAACCAGGCUUCGGCCUGGGGCAAAGCCGCGAACGGGUGAGUAACACGUGGGUAACCUGCCCCGAUGAUUGGGACAACCCGAGGAAACUCGGGCUAAUACCGAAUGUGCCCUCCGACCGCAAGGUCACUGGGGAAAGGAAGCUUCGGCCUCCGCAUCGGGAUGGGCCCGCGGCCCAUUAGCUUGUUGGUGAGGUAACGGCUCACCAAGGCGACGAUGGGUAGCUGGUCUGAGAGGACGAUCAGCCACACUGGGACUGAGACACGGCCCAGACUCCUACGGGAGGCAGCAGUGGGGAAUCUUGCGCAAUGCGCGAAAGCGUGACGCAGCAACGCCGCGUGGGGGAAGACGGCCU
rnacentral:rRNA from 1 species